rnacentral:lncRNA from 1 species
GGGGCCCAUAUUCAGGGGCUAACUCUGCCAGCUGUGUGGUGAGAUGGAGCUGCCACCGCUUGAUCUGCUCAUCUGUAAUGAGGGAGUCUUAGAAGCUUCGCUCACCACAGUGAACUGUUGUAGGACUUAAAGGGAAGUGUCUACAAGGCACGCUGGGAACUGAAAAGGCCUUUCUGUAGAAUGAAACAACAUUUUCAAAACUCAUGAUUUAAGCCACAUUUCAGUUCUUGGCAGAUGAAAUCACUGUCUGAUGGGAGCAUGGAGGAGGAGGAGGAGGAGGAGGAGGAGGAGGAGGAGGAGGAGGCAACCAGAAGAGGGAGCAGUUACAUCAACUCAUACUCAUGCUCCUGAGAAAGCCCUUGGGCUCAUAGAAGGAACAGACCAACAGAUUCAUGUGCCGGACGCUUGGGAUGAAGCCACAAAUCCUGUAUGUUUCUCUAUUUCAUAGAAGAAGCUUUUCCAUUACAAAGAGGCUUGCUGUCAAAGCAAUAUGACCACCUAGCUGGCUAUUCAUUCUGCCAAUCUGACUUCCUUGCCGUGAUGUGAUAAAUCCUCAUGAAUUGCAAACUAGAAGAAACCCUUCAUUCCUUCUUU